UGUAGUUCCUCCAGAAACGUGUAAAAGUGGCUGGCCACCUACAGUCCUUUUAGAACAAAAAGAACCUGGUAGCCUUUAAGAUCAUCCCCCUGAAGAAUAUAAACAAAUUUACCACACGUAUCCUAGAAGUCAACAUGCACAUGGUGCUGAGCAAAUCCAACAGCCAGCCCUCAGUAGGGAGAAUAUCUAUCAGCAAUCCAAGAAUGGGGGAAGCAGAAAACUUCAGUGGGUAUAGCUUCAUGCCAACAAAUGACCCAACUGUGGCUCAAAACCAGGUGCUGAAUUUGAUUAAGACUUGCCCAAGACCUGGAGGAUCACAGGAUCCAGCCUCAACACAUGGCUUUAGCGUCAAUCAAGCAAGCUGUGGAUUUUCUUAACAACAAGAGGCACAUCUAUUCUUCUGUGGAUGAUGAUCACUUUAAAUUCACAGAUGUGGAAUAACUGGAUCUUAUUGGGUACCU
rnacentral:lncRNA from 1 species